rnacentral:rRNA from 1 species
UGGGGAAUUUUGGACAAUGGGCGCAAGCCUGAUCCAGCCAUGCCGCGUGCGGGAAGAAGGCCUUCGGGUUGUAAACCGCUUUUGUCAGGGAAGAAAUCUUCUGAGUUAAUACCUCGGGAGGAUGACGGUACCUGAAGAAUAAGCACCGGCUAACUACGUGCCAGCAGCCGCGGUAAUACGUAGGGUGCAAGCGUUAAUCGGAAUUACUGGGCGUAAAGCGUGCGCAGGCGGUUUUGUAAGACAGAGGUGAAAUCCCCGGGCUCAACCUGGGAACUGCCUUUGUGACUGCAAGGCUUGAGUGCGGCAGAGGGGGAUGGAAUUCCGCGUGUAGCAGUGAAAUGCGUAGAUAUGCGGGGGAACACCGAUGGCGAAGGCGAAUCCCCUGGGCCUGCAACUGACGCUCAUGCACGAAAGCGU